rnacentral:rRNA from 1 species
AGAGUUUGAUCCUGGCUCAGAUUGAACGCUGGCGGCAUGCCUUACACAUGCAAGUCGAACGGUAACGCAGGGCAACCUGGCGACGAGUGGCGAACGGGUGAGUAACGCAUCGGAACGUGCCCAGUAGUGGGGGAUAGCCCGGCGAAAGCCGGAUUAAUACCGCAUACGACCUACGGGUGAAAGCGGGGGACCGUAAGGCCUCGCGCUAUUGGAGCGGCCGAUGUCAGAUUAGGUAGUUGGUGGGGUAAAAGCCUACCAAGCCGACGAUCUGUAGCUGGUCUGAGAGGACGACCAGCCACACUGGGACUGAGACACGGCCCAGACUCCUACGGGAGGCAGCAGUGGGGAAUUUUGGACAAUGGGCGCAAGCCUGAUCCAGCCAUGCCGCGUGCGGGAUGAAGGCCUUCGGGUUGUAAACCGCUUUUGUCAGGGAAGAAACGCUCCGGGCCAAUACCCCGGGGUAAUGACGGUACCUGAAGAAUAAGCACCGGCUAACUACGUGCCAGCAGCCGCGGUAAUACGUAGGGUGCAAGCGUUAAUCGGAAUUACUGGGCGUAAAGCGUGCGCAGGCGGGUUUGUAAGACAGAGGUGAAAUCCCCGGG